GCCAGGCACGGUGGCGUGUGCCUGUAGUCCCAGCUACUUGGGAGGCUGAGAUGGGAGGAUCGCUUAAGCCCAAGAGUUCUGGGCUGUAGUGCGCUAUGCCGAUCGGGUGUCCGCACUAAGUCGGCAUCAAUAUGGUGACCUCCCAGGAGCGAGGGACCACCAGGUUGCCUAAGGAGGAGUGAAACGGAGCAGAUCAAAACUCCCAUGCUGAUCAGUAGUGGGAUCGUGCCUGUGAAUAGCCACUGCACUCCAGCCCGGACAACAUUGUGAGACUCCGUCUCU
rnacentral:SRP_RNA from 1 species